ACGAGUUCUUCCGGGGCGGAGGUCACCAUGGCAGCUGCCUUGGCUCGGCUUGGUCUGCGGCCUGUCAAACAGGUUCGGGUUCAGUUCUGUCCCUUCGAGAAAAACGUGGAAUCGACGAGGAGACGGGCAUCGCCUGAUUAUGCGCGGCGCUCAUCUCACCGCUCUGGAAAUGCUCACCGCCUUCGCCUCCCACAUCCGGGCCAGGGACGCGGCGGGCAGCGGGGACAAGCCGGGCGCUGAUACUGGUCGCUGACAGCGCCAAAGAGACCAACAAGAUGAUUUUAGCGUGGACUAGGACACUUAACCUAAGAAGAGUUUCACUUAAUCAUUCAAAUCACUAUCUGAAGGGUCACGGAGCGCAAAAUAAAGUUUAAAACCCUGCUACC
rnacentral:lncRNA from 1 species